rnacentral:tRNA from 1 species
CCCCGGCAUGGUCCCGGUGGACGAGGACGGAGGGCGUGGUGCCGGUUCAAGUCCGGCUCCGGGGACCA